AACUUGAAAGCCCACGAACUCUCAGGGGAAAUGCUGUAUACUUUCCCAAAUACCUUACAUCUCUUCGGGAUCUAAAACUUGAAAACAGACUGCUUUAGUUUAAUAGUGGCUCUACCCUACACCUCAAGAGACGUUUUGCCCUCGGUGUUUCCGUUUUCUCAUCUGUACAAUGGAGACAAGAGCCGUACACUGAAAUAUUUUGCAGGCAUUGCUUCACUGUUCCUGGUAUUUAUAACUGCUGUGAAGAUUUCCGAAGCCAACACAAUUUCCUUCCUUUAAGUCUUCUCGAUGACAGCCUAUGGUAUUAGUGCACGCUGGUUUAAGACACCAUGAAACCAACCUAAUGGAAGCUACCCUUCAGAGCUAUUAAUGUACUUGAGAACUUGGUUUGCUUUCCAAUUUCCUGACAUUUUCCUGUUUCAAAUUAAUGAUUUCUAAUCUACACAGUGUUUUCUUAUUGCUUCAAGAGUCUUUAGGGGCUGCUUUGAGUUAAGGAAAUAGGUUAUCAACACAUUGUAUAUUAAAUAUACAAUUUAUAAAAUACAUAACAUAGUAUUUAAAAUGGAAUCUUAAAAAAUAUCUUCAGCCCUUACUCUUUAAUCUCUGACCAUGAACCUAUUUUAGUGGAACUCUUAGAAAAUUACAGAAGAUAGAUCCACUUAAAAACUUUUAUUAGUUGUCAACUUUAUUGUAAAGUUAUGACUAGACUCCAGACGUAUUUGGCUGUGACUCCCAGGAUUCUCCAUUAGUGUCCCAAAUUGGUUUUAAAUCAUCAACAUCAGGUCAUGAUACUGGCAGGAAUUGCUGUAGAGUCCAUGUGAGAGUAGCUUCUCUUUAAUCGUUCAACUGGUAAUCAUUUUCAUUUUGAAAUGGACAAUGGUAAUGAGUUUAUUUUUACAGAUGGCAUAUUUUGGGGGAUUUUGAUUUUUCUAACCUAAGGAAAUUAUUUUAGCAAGUUAGAAAUUGAAUUCCUUGGAGAGGCUCAUUUCUCUUCCCAUAUAUUUCCUGUGUCCUUCUGACAAGCUAGGAAGAGAACUAUAAUGAAAACAGAAUCAUUUGGAAUUUUUAUAACUGGAUUCGUAACCACUUUGUUGAUCCUUUCUAUUAUGUUACUUCCUAUUCACCAGUGAUAAUAUCUUGAAAGAUUUCAAGAUUCUUCAAAUCUGAAUAAUUAAAAGAGAUCAUACUAUGCCUAAUAGUAAAAUGUAAAAUAACUGAAUAUUAUUUGUUUUAUUGCUUGAAAACUAGUUAUCCAUAUAAAAUACAUGUGUGCACCUUCUUUUAAUUGUUGGAUGUGAGAGAUCACUCUGCAAGAUAAUAAAGUUUCUA